AUUUCCCAAGCUGCCUUUCUCUACAUUGGAACACUACUACAAACUACCUUUCCCACAAUGCUUUUCAGGUCUGACACUUCUAGUUCCCUUUACACAGGGAAAGUAUAGUUUCUGCUUUUAGCACGGGAAGUUUGAGCCAAGCUUUUUGCUUUUUCACCAUGGGAGAUCGAGAGAUUUCUGCUUCCCAGAGCUAGUGUUGCUAGGUGUUCUUCUUUCUUGACACUGUUGCCAAAGCUGAGUGUACCUGCUGUCUUUUUGUAUGGGCAGGUCUUUUUGUGCCUGAAGCAAAAUUCCCUCAGGGCUUGCUCUUCUGCGUUACCAGCAGAUCACAAAGAACUUCUCCCCGACCUCCCUUCUAUCAACUCAUUCCAUUAUCCCAGCCUCCAACACCAGCAGGCAUUCACAGGGAAUAUAUCUGCUAAGCAGGCCAGGGAAACAGCAAUCUGCCUUCUCAGCUCCUUCAAGGAAGAGAUGCCUGAGGUCUCCAUGAUGACAGCUAAUUGAAUGCUCCCCGACUCCCAAUUUCUCCCUCUCCACUUCAUCACAAAUCAGCAGGAAGCAGUCUUGAGAAUUUGGCGCCUCUCAUUCCUGCCAUCCAUAAUUUACCCUUUUUAUAAUGAUCAAAAAUGAGGGAUGUUAACAUUCAGACUAGCCCUUGGAGGCCUGGUCAAUAUGUAGGCAAUACCUUGUCCUGCUCAGGGCCCUGACAACAUCAUGCACUCAUUGCUACAUGACUUCUCUGUGCAUGCAUGAAGUCCCCACAUAAAAGGUGGGCCCACUGCUCACCUUCUCUCUUUUCUCUCUUCUUCUCUCUUUAGCCCCCUGCCUGUUCUCUUUCCCUCUCUUCCUCCCUCCUUG